UGGGGAAUAUUGCACAAUGGGGGGAAACCCGUGAUGCAGCGACGCCGCGUGAGCGAAGAAGUAUUUCGGUAUGUAAAGCUCUAUCAGCAGGGAAGAUAAUGACGGUACCUGACUAAGAAGCCCCGGCUAACUACGUGCC
rnacentral:rRNA from 1 species